GAUGAAGAACGUAGCGAAAUGCGAUAAGUAAUGUGAAUUGCAGAAUUCAGUGAAUCAUCGAAUCUUUGAACGCACAUUGCGCCCGCCAGUAUUCUGGCGGGCAUGCCUGUUCGAGCGUCAUUUCAACCCUCAAGACCCCUUCGGGGGACUUGGUGUUGGGGACCGGCACAGGGGCCUGCCUGCUUGUCUUGCAGCGCCCUCGCCGCCCCCGAAAUGAAUUGGCGGCCUCGUCGCGGCCUCCCCUGCGUAGUAGCACAACCUCGCAACGGGAACGUGACGGCGGCCACUGCCGUAAAACAACCCCAAUUUUAUUAGAGUUGACCUCGAAUCAGGUAGGAAUACCCGCUGAACUUAAGCAUAUCAAUGAGCGGAGGA
rnacentral:misc_RNA from 1 species